UUCUUAUUAUAUGUCUGUCUUUUGCCUCUUUUAGUAUCCUGGUGCUUAGCCUUGUGCCUAGUACAUAGAAAUGUACUAUACAUGCUUAUUACAUGCUAUAUAAGAAUAUGUAACACAUUAUAUACAACAUUCUAAUAUAUGAAUUAUAUAUCUAACAUACAAAUAUAAUAUACACAUAUUAUACAUACUAUGUGUACAAUAAUGGUACAUAUGUUAUAUAUUGUUAUAGAUCAAUUUACUAAUAUUAUGUUAUAAUAAACAUAAUGGUAUAUUACAUAUAAUUAUAUAAUAGAUUAUUAUAUUACAGAAAUUAGAUCUCUAGUAUAGUAUCUUAGAUAAUAAUAUAGUCUAUAGCUAAUAAUACAUUAUGAUAUAUCUAAUUUACAUAUAUAUAAUAUAUAACUAUAAUUUUACAGAACAUAGAGGUGAGAGGAGCAUUAGAAAGCAUUUAGUCCAAUCACCUAAUUUUACAGAUGAGGAAACUGAGACCAACAAAGGUAUUAAGUGGCAGCCCUAAAGGUGAAAUUCAUUCAUUUCUCCACUGUGUCAUGCUCCCUCCCUCUGGCAAAUCUAGGGUCCCCUGGAAUAGAAAGGUUGAGAAGGAUGAAACAGAAAAGCCAGAUUUCCUCUUCCCCACUGAGUUCUGGAGCAUGAAUUGUAGUAGCAUUUCUAAAAUUUUAUUUUCUGUGUCAAAGAAUCAAUGAGAAACUUAUUUCUAACCAGCAGCAACUUCUGAUAUUUGCUUAGAAGUGACAGGAUGCUAGUCCUGGUUAAAUGACUAUAGGAUACCUAGGAAAAUGCCAUCAAUAUUCAUCUAAUUAAUACUAUUUAUUUCCAGAGAGAGAAUUGAUGAACUCUGAGUAAAGAUUGAAGCAUACUUUCCACUUUAUUUUUCUUGCUUUUUCAAAAAUGUGGCUAAUAUGGAAGUAUGUUUUGCAUGAUUUCACAAGUAUAAUUGAUACAUUACUUGCCUUCUCAAUGGCUCAGGGAGGAGUUGGACGAGGGAGAGAGUCUGGAAGUCAAAAUUUUUUUUAAAAAAUGAAUGUUAAAAAUUCUUGAAAAAUCUAUUUAAUCAUAUAGCCAUUUCUUUUCAAAAAAUUUAAGUAGGAGUAAGAAUGUUAAGCAGUGAUUUCUACCCUUUAUCUCCUACUACUCCCCUUCACAUACUUGACAUUUCAGCCAAAUUGGACUUCUCAGAAUCCCUCAUUCUUAUCUUUUUUUGCUCCCAUUCCUGUGUCUUUGCUCAUACCAUCUCCAGCGUGGGAUGGAAUCCUUUCAUGUCAGCCCAACUAAGUCCUUCCCUUCCUUCAGGGUCCACUUCAAAUGCCUCCUCCACUAAGAAAUGUUUGCUGACAUCCUGAUCCAGUUUCACAUAAUUACUUUCUCCUUAAAAUUUUUCCCUCAUUUUAUCUGACACUAACCCUUUUCCAUGUAACUCAUUCUUCCCUGUGGCAUAGAUAUUUGAUUAUUUUAAAACAGCAUUUUUUAUUUCAUUUUUGAAUUCCCAUAGAACAGUGUCUUAUGCAUAAAUAUUUGCAGAAUGGUUAGUAUGUAAAUUCACUUCCAUUUUUUUCAAUAUUGAGGUUUCAUAUUUGUCUGCAGGUUAAAUGAGACAGUGGGUUGGGAUGCAUGUACCUACAUGGUAC
ensembl:lncRNA